AAAGCAGAUAGGCCCUUUUCAAAUGUUUAUCUAGAAGUUUCUCAGCGGACUCCUCCCGGAGAUCGUUUGAGAUCUUAUCCAAAGUUUCUUCGUGAAUUGCUCUAAGUGGUUUUCGAACAGUGUCUCUCACGAUUUUUGCGAAGUUCUUGUAGAAGGGAUUCCUGAAGGAAUGCCUGGGGGAGUCCCUAGAGAAAUUACUGGAGGAUUUCCUUGAAGAAUCACUGGAGAACUUUCAGGAGGAAUCCCUGAAAGAAUCCCUAGAGAAAUGCCUGGAGGAAUCCCUGGAAGAAUUCCUGAGAAAAUUCCGGAAGGAGUUUCUAAAAAAAACUGAGGUCUGUACUUCCUCCUCAGAAAUCGCUGAAAUUUAUGAGGAAAUCCUUCGAAGAGUACGUAAAGCAACUCUUGGAGGAAUCCCUCUAGCAGUUCCUGGAGGAAUCCCUGUAGGAGCUCGUGAAGAAACCCCAGGAGGAAUCUCGGAAGCAAUUUCAAGAGGACUUCCUAAGAGAAUCUCUAAACAGUUCCUGGUGGAAAUCUUGGAUUAAUUCCUGGAGAAGUUUCUGAAAGAAUUCCAGUAGGAAUUCCUAAAGGAACUCCAAGAAGAGUUUUUGGAGGUUUUUUUAAUAAUCCCUGAAUUUAAUCCUCAAGGAAUCACAGGAGGAAUUCCCGGGUGAAUCCCUGGAGGAACUCUUGGAGGAAUUUCUCAAUGAACCCCAUGAGGAAUCCCGGAUGCAAUUCCAUGAGGAAUUGAUUAGGGAAUCUCAGGAGAGCUUUCUUAUCGAAUUCCUGGAAGAAUUUCUGUAGGAAUCCCUGGAUAAAGAAAACUAAUAAAUACAUGUCUGCAGUAAUUUCUGUACGAAUUAUUGAAGGAAUACUUGAAUGGACUUCUAAAGGAUUUUUUUGCACAGAAUUUUUAACCAUUCCUGGAUGAAUUUUUGAAUAAUCUCUAGUAAAAUUUUCUGAAAUAAUCUCUGGAAGACAUUUCUGCGUAAAUACUUCAGAUACAUAAAUCCAGAUGGAAGCGUGUCUAGCGAAAUUCUGGACAAAACCCUGAAGAAAUCUUUGAAGGAAUACCUGGAGAAAUAACCUCAAGGAGAAAUUCCUGAAGAAACCCUCGAAAAAAGCACUGGAACAAUCACUAUGUUGCACUGCUGAUACCAAUUUAAUAUUUUGGCUUCCGAUGAAUACUUCCAUAAAGUUUUUUUUGUUGUUCUUUCGGGAUUUCUGAGAGUUGUUCUUGGGAUUCCUAGCAGAAUUUCUUCCAGAAUAUCGGCAGGAGUUUUUCACGGGGUUCCUGCUGGGGUACAUCCCAUUUUUUUUUCAGAGGGGUUUUCCCAGUUUCUCACUGGACUCCUCUCGAAGAUCGUUUAAGAUCUUAUCCAAAGUUUCCUCGUAAAUUUCUCCAAGUGGUUUUCCGGGAUAACUUUCGAACAGUGUCUCUCACGAUUUUUGCGAAGUUCCUGCAGAAGUUCUUCUAGAGAGUUUACGAUAUUUUUCUUGAAUAUCCUCGCGGGAUGUCACCGGAAGUUUCUCCCAGGAUUUGUCUUAGAGGUUUAUGGAGUUCCUCCUUAAAUAUCCUGCCGAGGUUUUUUUUUCAGAUAUUCAAAUAGUUAUUCUGUGGAUUUCUUCCAAACUACCUUUCGAGUUUUUCCAAUAGAUAUUUGAGGGGUUUCUCACAAGAUUUCACCUGGAUUCCUUCCGAUAUUCUCCGGGAAUAUUUUACAAAGAAUUUUGUAUGUUAUCACAGGAGAUAUUCCGAUAACUCCUGAAAAUCCGUGAAAAAAACUCAUGGAAAAAAGUCAGGUGAAACUUAAAAAAAAAUCACGCGAGAACCUUUAGGAAAUUUUUCAGUUUAAACUUAUGUAGAAAACCAAAAGCCAAACGCUGAAGAAAGCUCACGGAGUUUCUUGAAAAAAUUGCAGGGGAAACUUCUAAAGAAAUACUGGAAGGAGUACCUGCAGAAAAUUCGUGGAAAACUCAGUAAGAAAUCCUUGCAGGAGCUCUGGUAGAAAUCUAAUAAAUAACUUCCAGGAAGAUCUACUAGAGAAGUCUCAUGAGAAACAGUGGAAGGAAUCCCUAAAAUUCUUUAAAAGGAAUUCCGAGAGAAACUUCUGAAGACAUUCUGUGAAAAUACCUGCGAUAUACUGAGAGACUCUUGUGUGGAUCUUGCAAUCAAUCAUUGAAGAAAUUACACGAAAACUUUGUUAAGCAGGAGGAACAUCGAGAAAAUCCAACGAGGGACUCUGGGAGCAACACCGAAAGAACUUCUAGAAGGCAUUCUGGCAAGGAACCGAAACAUUCAUGAAAACGGUAGGAAUUCAAGACUCUCGGAAGAUUCUCAAGAAAAAAUUGUUCGAAUCUUGAAAAAUGCUUUGAAUUUCCUGGAAAAAUGCGGAAGGAAUCCUGUGACAAACUCUAGGGGGAAUUUCAAGAGGUAUUUCUAAAGUAGUUCUAGUAAGAAACCCUAACUGAAUUUCUGGAAAAAAAAGCAUUGUAACGGUAUUUCUAGCUUGAGUUCAACUACCAAAUCGAUACCAACAAUGUUGUAAAAUCAAUGAACUUUACUUCCUGAGUAGAUCUACAAGUAUUAAAGUUCACUACUUGGUAUUCAAGUUUUAUUAUUUAUCGGUGGUGAAUUUCCCUGAGUAUUCCAGGUUUUUCCCUAAUAAAUAAAAUUCCCUGAGAAAUCCCGGUUUUUUUAGGUGGUAGACGCCCUGUGUUCAAACAUGAUUAUGGGCAGCUGCACUCUGUUGAAGAUAUGGGAAGAAAAAGAACCACCUGCUAUCUGGCUGGAUUGCCUCAUUUGCCCUCUCUACAAGGGACACAGACUGGAGUGCGCCAAUUACCGAGGAAUAAUACUCUUCAACUCGCCGUCCAAAACUCUUGAGGAGUCUUUCGUCGUCAAAUACUAAACUGGUUUUCAUGAGGACCGAUCAACGAAGAAUCAAAUUUUUACUCAAUGACGAAUUCUAGAUAAAUUCUGGCGGUACAGCUUGCAGACCCCUCCGUCUCUUAAUUGAUUUCAAAGCGGCGUACCAUUCAAAAGCCAAGAAAAUCUCCAUUACGAAAAGUUUCUGAACCGACGUGGAGUUGAACCAGUCACUUUCAGCAUGGUCAUACUGAAUACCGAUGCCGUUACAGCAGCUAUACGGGAAUCACGAGCUGUCAUCACCACUGGGCUGACUAGAGUGCGCCAGUCUAUACAUCGACCUAGAGAACAAAUUGAACAAAACGGAUGAGGAACAAAAACAAAACCUAAAUUGAGAGUGGAUGAAGUUGCUAUUAAAAGUUAUUAAAAUCAUUGAAUUUCUAUUGUUUAAACUAAUAAAAUAAGUAAAAUUUAGUGGUCAUUUACAUGCAGUAAUAUAGUAAGCUAUUGCUCUUUAAUUUAAAGGUAAAAUGUUCAAAUAAACCCCAAAAAAUUGAUAUUUUAGUUUAGGUGAACUACACGCGAUCAUCUGUAGUUUCGGGUACUCCAAAAGCGUUUGUAAACUAGUUUAAACGUUAACUUAGUAAGUAUUCUUAACUAUAAAAGCUAAAUGAAUUUGUUAAAGAUGCUAUUUAAAACUACAGGCUAGUGCUAAACCGUUUUGGGCACUGAAUCGAAUACGUCUAGCAAAAUUGUUUCACGAGGCUAGCAGCGAAACUAAAUUUGUAAGUUUGUACAAAUAACUCUGGAAUCACAUAAUUACUAAACAUCUAAUGGAACAAUUAAAAUUUCAGUUUGAGCCGCUCUUUAUAGACUGCUACAAGAAAUAAGUGCUGAUUCUGCAAAAAAUCCGAACAAACUCAAAAAAUUUAUUCGGAUAACCUCAAAACGAUGCCGGCAGGCGAAGAUUUCACCAUGACUGCCUGUGGAGUAUGCGAAACGGUUUCAGAAGUAGACGAAGGAAUGGUGGCAUGUGAUUCUUGUAACCGAUGGUUCCAUUAUCGGUGCGUAGGAGUAACAGAAGGAGUUAAAGAUGCAAAAAACUGGUUCUGUCCGGACAUCAGCUGCCAGAAGUUGGCCAAAAAGCAAGAAGGAAAACCUGCGAAGAACCGGAAGAAGGCUACGUCGGGAAAUGAAUCGGAUAAAUCCAGUGUGACUUCUGAAAGCGUAGUACAAACGAUGGAUCAAAAGUUGAAAGCUCUAGAGAAGGAACGAAGAGCGAAGGAGAGAGAAAUGGAAGAAGAACGAGUCCUGAAGGAAAAGAGGAUGGAAAUGGAUCGUUUCCUUAGGGAAAAGGAAUUAGCGAUUCAAGAUGAGCUACGGGAAAAGGAAAUGCAGCAGGAAAAGGAACUACUGGAGGCCGCUUUACAAAAGAAGCGGAACUUCCUAGCAAGGGUGAAGGCUAUGCGAGAGUCCUAUCAAGUUCAAAUGGAGAAUAUCCAGCAGGAGCUUGCCGAAGGAGGAAAUCAUCUCAACAAACCGAGCGAGUUAUGUCCGAAGCGCAUCCAGUCCACCGAACGUGCCACCGAAUCAGUGCAGGAGCAAAAGGCUUCCGGCUCCACGAAACCCGAAAUUUCCCAAUCCGAAUCGAGUGUAUUCUAUACACAUACACCAGUCCGCAGCUCUGGCAUAAAAGGCAAAAUCAACAAAGCGGCAGCAGCCGUCGCUGCCGGCUCCAACGGCAAACCAGUCUACGGAAAUGAUAAGAACGAUCUUGACGAUUUGGAAGAAGAAGAAGCCCAAAGCAGCGAAAGCGACGAAGAUUACCCAGAUGAGUCGGACGAAGACCCGGAUGAGGAGGAAGAGGAAACGGAUGACGAACAUACCGAAGAUGAGAAAGGAAGAUAUGCCUUUAAAAACCGUCAAGCAAAGAAGGCAGCGACGGCGGUAGUUCCCCACGGGCUGGGGCCGACUAAAGCACAAUUAUCUGCACGCAAUGGAAUCACUAGGAAGCUACCCGUAUUCACGGGAAACCCCGAGGAAUGGCCCUUGUUCAUUGGGAGCUAUAAUGCUUCCAAUACAGCGUGUGGUUUCAGCGAUGUAGAGAACUUAGUUCGUCUACAGGAAUGCUUGAGAGGACCAGCAUUAGAAAGUGUCAGAAGUCAGCUGCUACUACCACAAUCGGUUCCCAGAGUCAUCAACAAGCUUCGUCAACUAUAUGGGCGACCUGAACAACUUCUUCAUCACCAUCUCGACAAGAUCAGGAAGCUCGAAUGUCCCAAAGCGGAUAAACUGUCCAGCUACAUACCAUUCGGUAAUUCCAUAGAACAGCUUUGCGACCAUUUAGAAGCCGCUGAGUUGACGCAACAUCUGGUCAAUCCUCUUCUGAUUCAGGAUUUGGUGGAUAAACUUCCAGCGCAAGACAAGCGGGACUGGGUCCGCUACAAGCAGAAGAAGAAGCGAGUGACUUUGCGAACAUUCACUGACUUCGUAUCCAGAAUAGUAGCAGAGGCGUGCGAGGCGAAUGUCAACAUGGACUUCAAAACCCCGCAGGCAUCAUCUGGACCCCCCUAUCGCGUGAAACGUGAAAAGGGUGCUGUGUUCAACCACUGUUCCUCCGCCGAGACGUCCACAAAGUCUAAAGAUCCUUCGAAGCUGAAGCCCUGCAAAGUUUGCCAUCGCACAGACCAUCGUCUUCGUUAUUGCGAGGAUUUCAAGUGCUUGCCUGCAGCAGAACGCAUAAAGUUGGUCGAGCAGUGGAAGCUUUGCAAAAUUUGUUUGAACGACCAUGGUAAAGCUCAAUGCAAGUUUCAGAUUCGUUGCAGAGUAGACGGAUGUCUUGCUCGUCACAACACACUGCUACAUCCAAUUGGGGGACCGUUAGCGAUCAACACGCACAUGUUAGAUGGUGAGGCAGUUUUGUUCCGAAUGAUCCCGGUCAGUUUGCACUGUGGAGAGCACAUUGUGGAAACCCUGGCGUUUUUAGACGAGGGAGCCUCUGUCACUCUCGUCGAGAAAACACUGGUUGACAGACUCGGCGUUCAAGGGACGAGAAACCCGUUGACCAUUACUUGGACGGCCGACAUUCAACGUACUGAGAAGGAUUCCCGGCAAAUGAAUUUAUGGAUUUCCACACGAGGUAUGGAGGGGAAGAUUCUACUGCGAACGGUGCAAACAGUUCCAGAGUUGAUGUUACCACAGCAAACGUUGAACGCACCUGCGCUGAUGGAAAACUACAAAUUUCUUCAGAAUUUGCCAGUUGACUCGUACUACAAUAAACGUCCAGGAAUUCUCAUUGGAAUUAACAAUGUGCAUGCGAUUGCACCUCUAGAAUCCAGACUUGGAACAAUUGGAGAACCGAUUGCUGUACGCUCUAAGUUGGGAUGGACGAUUUACGGUCCAAGUCAGAGAACCACAGGUGCACAAAGAGAUUUUGUUGGUUGCCAUCAUGACAUUAGCAAUCAAGAGCUACACAACGUCCUCAAAUCGCAUUAUGCCCUAGAAGAAUCCGUUGUAGCGGUGUUUCAGGAAUCAAAGGAGAACCAGAGAGCCCGGAAGAUUCUCGAAGAGACGACAGUGCGAAUCGGCGACAGAUUCGAAACCGGGCUGCUGUGGAAUACUGACAGUCCUAAGUUUCCCAAUAGCCUACCAAUGGCGUUGCGACGGCUGAAACAACUAGAGCACCGUUUGGAGAAUAUGCCGCAGCUUUACGAAAGCGUACGGAAGCAAAUAGUGGAAUAUGAGCAAAAGGGCUACGCGCAUCGUGCCACGCCGGAAGAAAUAGCUGAAGCAGAAUCAUCUGGAGCCUGGUACCUGCCCAUCAACGUAGUCCUCAACCCAAAGAAACCUGGAAAAGUUCGUUUGGUGUGGGACGCAGCGGCGUCGGUUCAAGGAGUGUCGUUGAAUUCCCAGUUAUUGACAGGUCCGGAUAUGUUAGCUGCCUUACCGUCGGUGAUUAAUCGUUUUCGCGAACGUCCAGUGGCUUUCGGAGGAGACAUCCGUGAAAUGUACCACCAGUUGGUGAUUCGUAAAGCUGAUAGGAGGGCACAGAUGUUCCUCUUCAGAAAUUCAACCCAUGAGAAACCAACGGUAUACAUGAUGGACGUUGCCAUUUUCGGUUCCAAGUGUUCACCCUGUCAGGCGCAAUACAUAAAAAACCGAAACGCAAAGGAGUUCGCGAUACAAUAUCCGGAGGCUGCAGCAGCGAUUAUUGACAAGCAUUAUGUGGACGAUUACUUCGACAGCACCGAUACCGUCGAAGAAGCAACACGGAUAGCAAAAGAAGUUGAACUGGUACACUCGAAGGGCGGCUUUGAAAUCAGAAAUUGGGUUUCUAACUCAAGGGAAGUCCUCCGCAGUUUGGGUGAGAAAAGUGCAGACCAAGCAGUUCACUUCAACCGAGAUAAAGAAACUGGUACGGAACGAGUUCUUGGAAUAAUAUGGAACCCCAAGGAGGACAAGUUUUCGUUUUCAACAGAACAUCGUGAGGAUUUGAAACGAUACUUGAGUGGCAAAGAAAUACCCACUAAAAGGAUUGUGUUGAGCAGUGUUAUGGGAUUGUUUGAUCCACUAGGCCUACUGUCAACGUUCAUUAUACAUGGUCGUGUUUUGAUCCAGAACUUAUGGCGAACAGGAUGUGAUUGGGACGAACAGAUUGAUCAAGCCAGCGAGUUGGAAUGGAGAAGGUGGAUCGGACGUUUACCCGAUGUAGAAGCAGUCAGGAUUCCUCGUGCGUACUUUGGAAGGUGGAAAUCUACUGAAAUUGAGACACUGCAACUGCACGUGUUUACUGAUGCUAGUCUGCAAGCGUAUGGAAGUGCAGCGUACUUUCGUGCUACAGUUGGAGGCGAAGUUCGUUGUGCCCUCGUAAUGGCAAGGGCGAAAGUAGCUCCAUUGAAGCGACAAUCAGUUCCCCGCUUGGAGCUGAUGGGGGCGCUACUCGGAGCGAGACUACUACAAUCGGUUAUGACGAAUCACACCCUUCCCAUUCAAAAAUGUUACCUAUGGACGGACUCACAAACGGUUCUUAGCUGGCUUCGCUCGGAUCAGCACAGCUAUAAGCAGUUCGUGGCAUUUCGUGUAGGGGAAAUUCAUGAGCUGACAAACUUGACUGACUGGCGGAAAAUACCUUCGAAAUUCAACAUUGCGGACGUUCUAACCAAGUGGGGUAGUGGACCAGAUCUCAAGGACGAUGGAUCGUGGUUCAACGGGCCAAAUUUUCUUCAACAAACAGAAGAAUACUGGCCAGCCGAGAUGCUGCCUGAAGCAAAUAUCGCGGACGAGAGGAAAGCGGUAGUGCUGGUUCAUGGAACGUGUUCUGUCGAACCAGUAAUACGAGUAGAAUCGUUCUCCAGGUGGAUUAAACUGCUCCGAGUUACAGCAACAGUCGUUCGAUUCAUAAACAACUGUCGGAGAAAGAUCGCUAAACAGCCCAUACUAUGUGCGGAGGCAUCAGAAAAGCAGCGUCGACUCAUAACAGCAAAGUUUGAUGUACUGAAGCGUCCGUUGCUGCAAGAAGAAUUGAGAAGCGCCGAAUGUAUCUUGUGGAAGCUAGCACAACGAGAAGGUUAUGCCGAGGAAGUUCGAACACUGAGUAGGAGCGAAGAAAGUGGACCAGGAAAAUCAGUUGUGCGUUUGCAGCGAUCGAGCACGCUAUAUAAACUCACACCAUUUUUGGACGAAGAAGGAGUGAUGCGCAUGGGUGGUAGAAUGCAGAAUUCGACAACAGCCACGUUCAACGAAAAGUAUCCGAUAAUAUUGCCGAAAGACCACGAGAUAACGGAUAUGUUGCUGCAGGACUAUCAUGAAAAGUUUGGGCAUGCUAACAGAGAAACAAUAUUCCACGAAGUUCGCCUGAGGUUCAAGAUCCCGAAGUUGAGAUCAAGAAUCUCACGAGUUGUGAAAAAUUGUGUUUGGUGUAAGGUACACCGGUGUAAACCGGCUGUGCCAUUGAUGGCUCCUCUACCUAAACAAAGGAUAACACCAGGUUUGAGGCCGUUUAGCGCAGUUGGUCUCGAUUAUCUGGGCCCCAUCGACGUAUCAGUUGGUAGACGAUCAGAGAAAAGAUGGAUCUGUUUGUUUACUUGUCUGGCUAUACGUGCAAUCCAUCUGGAAGUAGUCGAUAGUCUGACAACACAGUCUUGUCUUAUGGCAAUUCGCAGGUUUAUCUGCAAACGUGGUGCUCCAGACGAAUUCUUUUCCGACAACGGAACGAAUUUCAGAGGGGCUUAUAAUGAAUUGAAGAGAACGGUUGAGCGAAUUAACAACGAAUGUGCUGAAGGAACCACGACUGCUAGAAUCAAAUGGAAUUUUAAUCCACCGGCUACGCCUCAUAUGGGCGGUAUUUGGGAGAGGCUAGUGCGUUCGGUUAAGGAAGCAUUUCGAGCACUGGAUGAUGGAAGAAAACUUACCGAUGAGAUUUUGAAAACAGUGGUAGCGGAAGCGGAAGAGAUGAUCAAUUCGCGACCGUUGACAUACAUGCCGGAUUCGUCGGAAGACAGUGCGCUUACACCCAACCACUUCUUACGAGGAACGGUUAAAGAAUCAGACACGAUGUUCCAGGACCAAACAGAUAUGGCAGGAGCAUUAAGGGAUACGUAUCAGCGUUCACAGUUUUUGGCAGAGGAAAUUUGGAAGCGUUGGUGUAAGGAAUAUCUUCCCACAAUAAAUCAGCGAACCAAAUGGUACACCGAACAGAAACCAAUAAGGAUAGGUGACUUGGUUUUCAUCGUAGAUGGAAAUAAUCGGAAGACGUGGAUUCGAGGAAUCGUGGAGGACGUUCAUGCUGGGACAGAUGGAAGAAUUCGGCGAGCAGAUGUCAGAACAGCGAAAGGUGUCUUCAGGCGUGCGGUUGCUAACUUGGCGCGUAUGGAAAUUAGCGACGGUAAAUCCGGAAAUUCCGAACCGGAAGCACCGGAGUUACGGGCUGGGGAUGUGUCAUCACCACUGGGCUGACUAGAGUGCGCCAGUCUAUACAUCGACCUAGAGAACAAAUUGAACAAAACGGAUGAGGAACAAAAACAAAACCUAAAUUGAGAGUGGAUGAAGUUGCUAUUAAAAGUUAUUAAAAUCAUUGAAUUUCUAUUGUUUAAACUAAUAAAAUAAGUAAAAUUUAGUGGUCAUUUACAUGCAGUAAUAUAGUAAGCUAUUGCUCUUUAAUUUAAAGGUAAAAUGUUCAAAUAAACCCCAAAAAAUUGAUAUUUUAGUUUAGGUGAACUACACGCGAUCAUCUGUAGUUUCGGGUACUCCAAAAGCGUUUGUAAACUAGUUUAAACGUUAACUUAGCUAGUGCUAAACCGUUUUGGGCACUGAAUCGAAUACGUCUAGCAAAAUUGUUUCACGAGGCUAGCAGCGAAACUAAAUUUGUAAGUUUGUACAAAUAACUCUGGAAUCACAUAAUUACUAAACAUCUAAUGGAACAAUUAAAAUUUCAGUUUGAGCCGCUCUUUAUAGACUGCUACAAGAAAUAAGUGCUGAUUCUGUAAAAAAUCCGAACACGAGCUAUACCAAGCGUAUAAAGAAAAGGAUUCAUCCUGCUAAUAAAACACGGCAGACUAAGUCGGGCUGGUCACGUCUUAAGGAUACCGGAAGAACGGCAAACGAAAAUAAUAUUCACUUUUUGGCUUUCUCGUACACCAAAGUGUACUAAAAGGCUAUAUGUUCACUCAAAAAACGAAUUUUCGAUAGAAGGCGCGGAGGGUCAAGUCACAUAUACAAAUCAACACAGUUCGACAAAUUGAGAUGUUGUCUGUAUGUGUGGAUGUGAGUAUGUCUGUGCGCAAAAUAAGUUCACUUACUUUUCAGGCACUUCCUAUUGGCUAAUUUUUUGGAUUAUAGCUCGAAUCGAACAACAAUUCUACCGCGUUGUUUGCUAUUGAAAAUGGUCCGAAUCGGUCAAUUCGUUCCGGAGUUAUGGCCAUUUCAGUGAUCGAGACCAGCACCGGCACACAUCAAACUGCGGCGAUUUUUGUAGCCUUUGGUAUGGCUGACAAAUUUUAUACGAAACUCAACUUCGGAAAUUCAAGAUGGCAGCCUAGUAUUAAAUAUGGCGUCUGUUUAAUAAAGUUUGAGCUCUAAAACCACGCAAUAUGGGGUAUAUUUGGUAUGGGGAAGAUGUCCUAAGUCUAAAAAUGGCGACCAGAAUAUCCAAGAUGGCGGUUUAAAAUCCAAAUGGCUACUCUAAUUUCAAGAUGGCGGCUGUCUAACGAUCAGGCUUGGCAUUGGUUACCGUUCAUACUCACUUUCAAACCGACCUGAGCAUGUAUUCGUUUUCACUGCCACACAAUCGCAAUAGGUCACUGCAUGAAAAUCUCUCCUUCUCUUUCACUCUCACAGAAAUCUUGUAAACAACAAGGCCACGAAACGUCAAAGUCCCAUACAAAAUCAAAACAGUGCAGUGCCCUAUAGGCUCAUCAAAUCGCCGUACUACGUAGUCAAGAUGAAAAAACAAAUUGUUUAUCGGUUGCGUCGUUACCUCGGGGACUUCAACAGUCACGAUUAUGUUUUGAAUGACGUUUGGAGUUCUCGGCCUAUUGAAUCGAUGGUAAUGACGGUCGCGACACUGCGGCAGCAGUCAGUGUGUGGUGUGUCAUAGGUCUUUAUGACGAUUUUUUCGUGACAUAACGUCCAAACAAGCAGAAGCGUCACAAAGUCCUAGGAAAAAGGAAAAGAGGAUUCUAUGACGUAUCCAAACUUUUGAACGUUGUUUCAAAUAAAAAAAGGAUCAGACCGGGAGAUUGUGGCUCCAGAUGAUCCGGCCCUAAGACAUACAUUAGUUACGCUUCGACAGAAGGAGAGGGAGUUUAUUAACGAGUGUAUAACAUGCAAUAUACUGGCUAUGCAAUGAUUUACAGUUCAACAUUAGAAACCCUACGAAACGAAAAGGUGUUUGUGUUUCAACACGAGUCGUGCCCGGAAAGUCUCAUAAGAUAUACAACUUGUAUUGAAUAUAUCAACUAGCUUUCGCAAGUUGUUUAAUAAUUAACUAUUUCCUAGAAUAUUUCAGGCAAUAUGAUCAAUUCUGAUUGAAUAUGUCGUUUUUCCCCACGUUUUUAUUGAUCUCGCAAUUUCUAACCAGCAACGUGCGUUUAUCUUAAGUUGGAUAAAUCAUUGAAACUUAUUAUUCAGAAACAUAUGAAGUUGAAAUAAGCGAAUCGCACUGUGUGUCGAGUGCCCGGCCUUUGUGAAAACGCGCUGGUUAUACACAACACAAACGAUGUUAUAUCCUCAAACACUGUUGGCGAAGUUUCUCUAUAAGCUCCACCACUAAAUCAAUAGCAUAAGUUAGCAUUAACGAUUCUCCUUUCUUUGGCGUUUCCGAACCUGUAAUUCCAUCUUAGUAGUAUUCACUGCAAGUAUCAAUCUGCAAUAUUUGAAAAAAUAUAUAAAAUAAUGCUAAUUACAUAUAAAUUAAACCAACUUUACAAAACGGCAUUAACCUAGAACUUAAAGACGGGCACCAUCAUUCAUUGACGGUCAAAUGAGCGAUGGUCUAGACCAGUGAAUCAAAAUUCAACCAUCGCGCAACAAUAAUGACAAUGUCGCAACCUGUAUUUGUUGCGACAAAACAACCCAUGCGACAUAAGUUUGUCCCAACUUGAAAAUAAUGGGAUUAACAUCGUACACCACGAGUUUAGAGAUUUUUAAGCCUUGCAUUGCGAUUUUCGAACGGUAACUUCAAGUCGGUAAACACUGGAACUCUGGCGAAGCUCUACCAUCAAACAGUUUCGACUUUGGGUUAGUAAUAAUUGAUUAUUCACGAGUUGAAAAGUACGCAACAAAUUCAGCUUCCGUUUUGUCUGCAACAAAAAAAUUCGAGAUCAUGUCAUUAUCUGUCACCAGUAGGGAUAAAGACUAAUCGUCGCACCUUCUUUGUUGCUGGUUUUGUGCCUCUUUUGUCAGACAAUUCUCUUCACUGGUCUAGACGGGUGAUGGUUAAAUAACGAAAAAAGUCGUUAUGGUUACCUAUGGUAUCUAGGUCGUGUCGAUGUGCUUUAGGUAGGUGAUGCAUGGUUGCUACCAUUGUUGGCCACUUCUGGAACAUCCAGGUACCCCGAGGGAAACGACAACAAAAGCUAAUUACGAUCAUACAACAAAACAUGUAAUGUGACCAUCAUGAUUUUUAAUUCCUAUGUAUGUGUUCGUAUCAAAAGUGGCCACACUCUUGGUUGUCCAUUUCUGAAACUUUCUGGGGCGCCCUGAGGGAACCGAUGGCCAGAAUCAAUUUGGUUCAUUCAGUGACGGUUUCAUCAUGUUUUUCGAGAAUAUGCUUGUGGUUACUGCUAAAACUUAGAGAAAGCCCUCAAGAGACUGAUGGCAUUGAACAAACGCGUUCAUAUGACAAAAUGUGGUGUGUAACGCAUCUUGGCUAGGACCAGAGAAAUAUCUGACAGGAUAAAAUAAUGCCUGAUGGAACAUCCGGAGGAUUCCCUUUCAAAAUGUUUGAAGGCAUCCUCAACGGAAUUUCUUGAGAAACGUCCAUCUGGGAAUUCCUCCGGGUUCUCCUCCUCCAAUUCCUCUAGGAGUUUCUCUAAGAGUUCAUCCUAAAAUUUCUCCUUAAGUAAGUCUGAGAGUUCCUCCCAAAACUUCUCCGGGAAUUUCUCCUGUAAUUCCGAACAAAGUCCUUCCUGGAACUCUUCUGGGAGUUUCUUCUUGAGUUCCUCUGGAAUUCAUCCCGGCAGUCCCUUUUAAAUUUCACCAGGAGUUUCACGUAGAAUUUCACUGUGAGUUUGUCAUAAAUUUCCCCCGAGAGUUUAUGCUGAAAUUCUUCCACAGGCAGUUUCUCAUGAAAUUCCUCCAGGAAUUUCCCCAGGAAUUCCUACGGAAGAUGCUUGUAGAAUUUCUUUAGUUCAUUCUAGAAUUUCUCUGGAUGUUCCUUCUGAAAUUUCUCCGAGAGUUCAUCCUGGAAUUCUUCCGGGAGUUCACUCUGAAGUUCACGCGGAAACUCCAACGGUAGUUCGACCUAGAAUUUAUCUGUGAGUUCGUCAUAGUAUUCCUCCAGAGUACCAUCCGGGAGUUUCCUCUUAGAAUUCCUCUUGAAAUUCUUCAUGGAACUUCCUGGAUCCCAAAAAUGCUUCAGGAGUUCAUCACAGAAUUGCUCGUCCGGGAGUUCCUUCAGGAAAUCUUCCGGAAGUUCCUCUGGAAGAUCGCCUGCAAUUUCUCCUGAAGUUGCUUCUGGAAUUCUUUCUGGAAUUUCUUCUGGAGUCCUUCUAGGAGUUUCUCUGGAGUUAAUCUGAGAAUUCCUCCCAAAAUUCCUCCUUUCUUACCGAAAUUUCUCUGAAGGGUCACCCUGGAACACCUUCUGAAAUUCCCGCAGGAGUUGCUCGUGAAAUUUCUCAUUAAAUUUCACAGGGGAAUCUACUUUUAUUUCUUACGGGAGUUUGCCUUAGAAUAUCUCUAGGAGUUUCUCCUAAAAUUCUGGGACUUCCUAUUAAAAUUCCUUUUGGAGUUCCUCCUCCUCUGAGAGUUCACGCUGGAGCCCCUACGAGAGUUCAUCCUGAAAUCCUCCGGGAGUAAGUCAUAGUAUUACUUCGGAUUCUCCACUUGAAUACUCUCCGCGAGUAUCCUCCUGGUACCUCUAUGAGAGUUCCUCGAAGAUCCUGGAAUUCCUCCAUGAGUUCGUCAUAUUAUAUCUUCGGAUGUUCCUCUUGAAUACCCUCCUGGAAUUCCUUCGAGAGUUCCUCAUGAAAUGUUACCAGGAGUCCCUUCUGAAAUUUCUCUAGGAAUUCCUUCUGGCAGAUCCUCCGGGAAAUCAUCAGAGAGUUCCUCUUAGAAUUCCUACGGGAAUCCUUUCGGUAGUUCCUCCUGAAACUACUUCGUGAGUUCAUCCUAGGAUUUCACAGGGAGUUUCUCAUGAUAUUCAUGCGAGAGUUCAUGCUGGAAUUUCUUCGGGAGUUCUUUCUUGAGUUUCUUAGGUUAUCCUUUUGAAAUUCCUCCAGGAUUUCCUCGAGGAUUUCCUGCGGGAGCUGCUCGUGGAAUUUCUCCUAGAAGUUCAACGGAAGUUUCUCCUGAAAUUCCCACGGGAGUUUGACCUGGAAUUUCCGUAGAAGUUCCCCUGGGAAUUCCUCCCAAAAUUCCUAUGACGAUUUCUCCUAGAAUUCCUUCGGUAGUCCUUCCUGUAAUACCUUCGAGAGUUUGUAAGAAUAUUUCUUCAAAUGUUCCUCUGAUUUUUCGGAUCCUGGGGGGCCUCUCUAGCAACACCAAAGUUAAGGAACUUCUGGGAGAUUCCCUGGUCUUGUUCCUGGAGAAACCCCUAUCAAAAGUCGUUAAAAAUAAUUUGUGGCGCUAGUGAUUUCUGACAGAUGCUGUGCCAGUUAUUUUUCCAGAAGCUCCACCACAGGGUUGUUAACGUUAAUCAACGAUUAACGCCGUUAACGUUAAUUUUCGUCCGAAUCAACGUCAACGGCGUUGCGUUAAUUUUCUAACCAGUUAACGUUAACGUCAACGGAAUGCGUUAAAUUAACGUCAACGAAUGCCGUUAAUUUUUGCGUUAAUUGAUGUGGUAUGCUUUGUGAUCUGUGUGACAUUUGUGGUUUUUUUUUCAAUUUUUGGGUAGAUUAUUAUUUGUGUUUGACAAGAUUUUUUUCUCAUUACUCACUAGCAAGAAAUUUUUUUUUAGGAACUUGUGCGCCGGCAUUUGACCAACAGUCUCAUAAUUGAAUCUAUAUUGUCCACGUCAAGAACCUGCAAAAUGCUUUGCCGACUUACUCAGGAAGCGUGAGUUUAUGCUUCGGAAGGAAUGGUGUUGGUGCAUUAUGCACCUUCAGCUGUGAAACUGAGCGCGCUUGUUAUGCAAUACACCCAGCGCGCUCGUCUUUGGGACUGGAAGUGCCCAAAGCGCUCUAAUUUCGUCCAUGACUAUCCCCCGGUGUUUUUUAGGCUAUCCACAAGUUGUUAGUGGACAAUUAUAAAACGUGACUCAUCUUAAGUAGCUAUUGAGUUGAUCACAGUAGCCAUCCAUGCAAAUGUCAAAAAUUUUCCCAGCAAAAUAUAAUAGUCCAUUUUACGAGCCGAUUUUAUGAAUGAAUUUUGACAGGAGGUAGCGUCCAAUAAUCCGUGAAAAUCAAUAUCAUCAUCAACAUUGUUGUCACUUCGUAAAAUGGAUCAUUGUCAGUGUUUCAUCUGCUUGUUUAACCCGACGUCUCUACUAGACAGAAAUGUCUUGCCAUUUGGCUGGACAGAUGUCUCAUGACAGAAAUGUUCUCUCGCUGUUUGCAUGGAAAGCAGCGGUGUUGAUCAUUUCUGUUACGUUCAUUCUUUCUGGCAGCAAUGUCGCAAGACAUUUCUGUCUAGUGGAGACGUGGGGUAAGAUAUCACAUAAAUCACAGACCAAUAGAUGUGAUACUAACGAAAUUUCAAUCUCAUAUAUCUCAGGAUCCUGAUUACUUAGAGAGUUGGUGUCUUCGGCAAAGUUGUAUGGCUGGUCAAGGACUAACCGAUAAUAAGCCUUAUGUUUCCAAAUUACACCGCUAGGCGGUGCUAGUGAGCUAACAAAUUUUGUUUUUCAUAUAUAUCAGGAAAAUUUGCAAAAAAUUGCAACUAGCGCCGCCUAGCUGCAGAAACUUGAACCAAACGAUAAUUAUUCUGAAAGCCCUUGAUCUACCAAACAUUUUUGCCGAAGACACCAUCUUUCUAAAAAAUCAGAAUGCUAAGAUAUGUGAAAUGUAAAAUUUGUACGCUCUCUAGCGCCGCCUAGCAGUGAAAUCACGAAUCAUACGGCCCAUAUUCGGAAAGCCCUUGACCAGCUAAACAACUUUGCCGAAGAAACCAACUCUCUAAGUAAUCAGGAUCCUGAGAUACAUGGGAUGGAAAUUUUGUCAGUGUUGCAUCUGCUUGUCUAAGAUAUCACAUAAAUCACAGACAUAUAGAGGUGACACUAACGAAAUUUCAAUCUCAUCUAUCUCAUGAUCCUGAUUACUUGGAGAGUUUGUGUCUUCGGCAAAGUUGUUUGGCUGGUCAAGGACUAACCGAUAAUAAGACUUAAGAUUCAAAAUUCCACCGCUAGGCGGCACUAGAGAGCAUCCAAAUUUUAAAUUUCGCAUAUCUCAGCAUCCUGAUUUUGUAGAAAGAUGGUGUCUUCGGCAAUAUUGUUUGGUAGAUCAAGGGCUUUCAGAAUAACUACCGUUUGGUUCAAGUUUCUGCAGCUAGGCGGAGCUAGUUGCAAUUUUUUGCAAAUUUUCCUGAUAUAUAUGAAAAACUAAAUUUGUUAGCUCACUAGCACCGCCUAGCGGUGGAAUUUUGAAACAUAAGUCUUAUUAUCGGUUAGUCCUUGACCAGCCAAACAACUUUGCCGAAGACACCAACUCUCUAAGUAAUCAGGAUCAUGAGAUAUAUGAGAUUGAAAUUUCGUUAGUGCUACAUCUAUUGGUCAGUGAUUUAUGUGAUAUCUUAGACAAGCAGACGAAACACUGACAAAAUUUCCAUCCCAUAUAUCUCAGGAUCCUGAUUACUUAGAUAAUUGAAUUGAGAACAAUCUGAAUUAUUUGAUUUUGCACACCUUUCCGACAAAUUUACCAAAAUAUUUGGUUGGACACAAGUAGAUUUACUUAAAUGUACAGUCUAGUAUCAAUUAAAUAUGUACUACAAUUAACGUAAAAUUAACGGAGUCGUUAACGUUAAAUCAACGCUCCGCGUUAACGUUAACGUUGACCAACGCUUCCAAAAAAUCAACGGAAAAAUCGUUGAUCGUUACAAUUAACGUUAACGAAUUAACGUAACGGCGUUAAUCGUUGAUUAACGUUAACAACCCUGCUCCACCAUGUAUCAUUCCAUGAGUUUCGUAAAGGAUUGUGCGUAGUGUUUCACCAGGGAUUUUUCUGAAGAUUCACUAGUAAUUUAUCUUGAAUUCCACCACUAACUGCUCCAGAAGUUCAGCUAGAAGUUCUUCCAGAAAUUUCUCCAACAGUUCCGGAGGGUAUUCUUCGUGGUGUUUAUCAGGGAUUUUUCCUGCAAAUCCAUCAGGGGUUGCUUUUAGAGUACUGCUUCAUUCCCCAAGCAUAAUUUUUCUAGACUAAAUCGGUGAUUCUAGAACCCAGUAGGGCCAAAGUUGUGUUCAAAAUUGCGUUAUAUUGGUUUCCGAGAUGUUUGAAAAAAAAAUGUCAUAUUUUGAUAUCUAACCCAAAAAAUACCAAAAUACGACAUUUUUUUUCAAAUAUCUCAGAAACCAAUAGAGAUAUCGCAAUUUUGAGCACAAAUUUGGCCCAAUUGGGUUCUAAAUUCACCGAUUUAGUCUAGAAAAAUUAUGUUUGAAAAUUUAGUUUGAAAUGUUUUUUAAAGAUUUUCUCUAAAAAAAUCACCUUAAUCCUUUGCGCCACCUCUAAAGAUCAACCAAAAUCACUCAUUUUUGUACAGCUUACUUAUUUCGACUAGUAGAUCGAUUUCCAUUUGGGAAAUCAUAUCCCAGAGAGAUUUUUAAAAAUGAGCCCCACCCUAAUGUUCCGGAACCACAAUUGGACCAAAAUAUGCAACUGAUAUUAUCCGGAGUGCUGUUGACUUCUGAUUUGCGGCUUCCGAAUAAAUAUCGGGUGCAAAGGUAUUCUUGGAUGACAAUGACUUUGCUUUCCGUAAGGAACUCGGGUUGAUUCCGGCCCUCUAGCUGGCCAGGGUGAGGCCGCCGGCCAAUGAGACCCCCAUCAAUCGAUUCAGCACACUUUUUCCAAGCGAAAAUGGUCUCAGCCGUUGGCAGAUCCCGUUACCCAGCUGAGAAAAUGAAUUUGGUUGUGUUUCGGGUUCAAUUUUUCCCACUGUGCAGCGGGGGUAAAAAAAAGAGUACUGCAGGUGAUUACUGCUGCAAUUCCUCUCAAAAUGUCUUUAGAAAUUCCGCCAUACAGGAACUCCGCUAAGAAAUUCAUACAGAAACUCCGCUAAGGACUCCUCUAAAAGUUACGCAAAUUACUGCUCUUGAAUUCCAUCUGGUUUUUUUUUAAGAGAUUCAUCUAGGAGUUCCGCAAGGGCAAUGCACUGCAUCUAGAUUAUCUCUGCCAGACAUUUAUUCAACAAUUCCAACAGAGAUUUCCUCAAUAUAUAAGUCAGAGAUUCCUCAAAUAUUUUGCCAGACGUUUCUCGAGAAAUUCCGUUGAGGAUGCCUUCAAACAUUUUGAAAGGGAUUCCUCCAGGAAUUACGCCAGGGAAUCCUCCGGAAGUUCCAUCAGGCAUUAUUUUAUCCUGUCAGAUAUUUCUCUGGCCCUAGCCAAGAUGCGUUACACACCACAUUUUGUCAUAUGAACGCGUUUGUUCAAUGCCAUCAGUCUCUUGAGGGCAUUCUCUAAGUUUUAGCAGUAACCACAAGCAUAUUCUCGAAAAACAUGAUGAAACCGUCACUGAAUGAACCAAAUUGAUUCUGGCCAUCGGUUCCCUCAGGGCGCCCCAGAAAGUUUCAGAAAUGGACAACCAAGAGUGUGGCCACUUUUGAUACGAACACAUACAUAGGAAUUAAAAAUCAUGAUGGUCACAUUACAUGUUUUGUUGUAUGAUCGUAAUUAGCUUUUGUUGUCGUUUCCCUCGGGGUACCUGGAUGUUCCAGAAGUGGCCAACAAUGGGGGCCAUGUCUAGCAUCGAUACAACCUCAACCAUAUUUAUUAAAAAUCAUGAAGGGAGAUCCGUCGCAUGACACAUUUUUCUGUUAGAAUAUAAUUAUCCUCUAAUGUCGGUUCUUCAGGGCAUCCCGGAAGUUUCGGAAGUGGCACAUUGGAACCAUGCAGUAACAAGUGCAGUAACAAGUGAAUUGACGAAAAAUCAUAAAAAAAGAGCAGUGGUGUUUUUUUUCAUGUUUUGCUAAAUAAACGUAAUUGACCCCUAUCACCGGUUCUCCAGGUUGUUUCAGGUCAUCCCGGAUGUUCCCGGAGUGGCCAGUGGUGACCAUGUGGUCAAUGAUUCAUCUUGACAUCAGCUAAUCAUGCCUUACAAAUGGCUAAAUUCAUAACUGUAGUCAAGUCAGGUUUCAUAAUCUUGCAAGUAGGAGCCCGAACGCGCGCAUGCCGCCACCCACGAACCACGCGUUGAUAAUUUCAAUCAAAGCCACCCAACCCACCUGGGUGCACCUCAGUAAAACCAGCAAAAUUUUUCUAAGUCCAAAUCGUAAACAACAAGGCCACGAAACGUCAAGGACUUAAAAGAAUUUUCCCUAGCAACCGCGGCGUGCAGUGCCCUAUUGGCGACGCAUUACAUGGGCAGAACCGUAGCAUGCUUGUGAACUUCAUGACUAAUGCCAAGCCUAACGAUGUUUAGGCCCUAAAACCAUGCAAUAUGGGUAUUUUUGGUAUGAAGAAGAUGUCUGGAGUCCAACAAUGAUGACCAAAAUAUCCAAGAUGGCGGUCUAAAAUCCAAUAUGGCUACUCGAAAUUCAAGAUGGCAGCUGUUUAAUGAAAGUUUAGGCUCUAAAACAUUGCAAUAUGGUAUGGCGAAAAUGUCCAAAAAUGGAAUAUCCAGAAUAUUCAAGAUGGCGGCUGUUUAAUGGAGGUUAAGGCUCUAAAAUCAUGAAAUAUGAGUAUAUUUGAUAGUAGAAAAUGUCCGGUGUUCAAAAACAGCGACCGGAAUAUCGAAAAUGGCGGCUGUUUAAUGGAGUUAAAGGCUGUAUAAUCUUUCAAUAUAGGUAUAUCUGGUAUGUGGAAGAAGUCUGUCCAAGAUGGCGGACUUAAAUCCAAAAUGGUAGCUGAAAAUUCAAGAUUGCGGCUUUUCGAAAAUGGGGUUUCGAAGGCACCAUCACCACUAGGUGGAAUAAUUAGGGUUUUUAUUGUUGUUGUAUACGGUUUCUCAUAACUUCAUGAUCAACAAAAAAGUAAGGACCCACAGAAACCGAUUGAGAAUGUCUGUUUUAAGUGGCUUCAAUGCUAACAAAUUAAUAACAUCUACCGCCGAUCGGAUAGGCGAAGGCACAGGGACGACGGUAUCAUAGUCUUAUACAGCUAUCACGCAAAGCAACUAAAGACAACAGGGAACCGAAAUUAACACACGGCGAUGGUGUGGUGACGACGAUGACUACACAGCACAGGUAACACCAGAGAAGGAGCCCGUCCCGUCAGGGCGCGAGCGUCACACAUUUAUCUUCGUUAUACAGAUACGACAAACGCUGAUGUUUGAUAAGAAACAGAUGGACGUUGCGAUUGAUAACGGAGCCUUGAAACAAUGGGCCUUCCUGGAGUAAUUUCGAAGGCAAUUUGCAAAUUGGAUCGUUUCGAAUUCGAGUUCAAUUGGGUUCAUCAUUGUAUACUUUAUCGAGGCGCGCAGAUAACCAUGGAGCUCCUGUCCAUGUAUUUAUGAUGAUGGUUCAAAAUAUCUGAACGUCCGCCCUUGACACAUAUGGCAUCUCAUUCAAUAAUCUACUGUUGCGAAGUCAGUUGUGAUCAUUCCGGUUUAGUUACGCACGACGAUACCGGCACCGGCGCUAUUUGGUCCUACAGUAUGUUGAAAAAUUAACCGUGCAGUGAUUUUUCUACUAACAUAUAUUCAUUCUACUUGUACACAAGUAGAAUUUUACGUAUAUUUUCAGUGAAGUUAAAAAGUGUUCAAAAAUUGAAUGUUGGAUAAAAAACGAAAGGGAAUAGAUAAAUUACACUAUAUGUAAACUAUAAGUAAACUUGUAGGAUGGAAUCUUACGAUGGAAACAACUAUAGCAAAUUUUUAAACAUAAGAAAAUAUUGGGUUCGUUGAUAAAAAAAAACACUGCACGAACAAUUUUCCGACACACCGUAUGUCUCCGAUCGCGUUAACGAUAUAACUUCUUCUGAUUUCGCACCAACAAACCGCAACGCACGAGUUCAAUUUCGAGCUCACGUGACUUUGAGUCAUUUCUUCCAAGUGGGCCCCAGCAGCAGAACCAAUUCCAACAAAUUGCGAUCCACAAUUUCACUAAAUCAGCACCGCCGCGCACUCAACACUCCAGGGCGCGCGGCACAGAAAACUAAAAAUCCAACCGUUGAUUUUGGAUUUCCUUAUCACGGCCGAAGGCAUUUACACACGUCUUCACUGAGCGCGCCUAGCAUCCUAGAAGAGGCGGCUUCCCGUAUCUUCUCAGUCAACAAAACAGAAACGGAUGACUUCACCGGCGACGACGAGCAGAGCAAAUAAGGCGCCUACCGAACACAACACAUAGGAAGUCAGUCCCUCAGCUCUAGCUCUAGCUCUGGAGUACCGCACAACGAGCAGUGUGUCGUCUUUUCCACGCGACGGUCGUAAACAUACUAGAUUUCGUCGAGCGAGCCGACCGACGACGACUCGGAGACUGGCACAACAGCCAGGCGUUGUAAUAGAGCGCGGCUACAGUAGCGCCCAAGUGAAACAACUCACCAUAAAAUUGAUAAAGCUUAUCUCUGCCAAAAUACUUUAUUUCGUUUCUUUUUAUGAUGCACCUGCCGCCUGAGAAGAUUGAACAGGUGAGCUCGUUUCAUGUCAUGUUGAAAAUUCUGCUCUUUCCAUUUUCGCCAUCAAAAUCGUCAUAAGUAUCUUCUCAGAUAGAAAGAUGGUGGAAUAUCUAAAAUACAGUGUACUCUGUGUAUCAUCGCCUUUGGCGUUUUCCAAUCUAUACCGAACUGGAUUUAUUGCUGCUGAUCUUUUUUUGUGCUGUGAUGGUAAAGAGUUUAAUCUUGCCUUUCGUAAGGGGCAUUUCUAUUUAGGAAACCUUCUAAACUCGGUGUAAAAAAGAAAUAGCUAAUUCGCGUGUCAUGCCUCGAGCAUGUGUACUUGUCAACAACGCAAUCAUUGCUACACUCAUCGCUGAACUGACCACUAGAGAUGUAUGUGCUAUUCCAAUCGAAGUAUCUAUUGGAAACCUCAACAGGAAAUACGUCUAAUGUUCGGUUUAUUUACCGCAUGAUGGACCAUCCCCUACGGAUGCUUUCAAAUAAGUCUUCGCAUACUGCACUUCAAAAGGCCUUAAGCUAAUUGUUGGCAGUGAUAAUGCUCAGCAUAUCAUCUGGGGCAGUUCAGACAUUAACUUGAGAGGCUCGAGUUGGAUGAGAUACUUAAGUAGCACAGAGCUUGGAUUACUUACCAUAGACAACCGCACAACCUUCAUGGUAUCUGCUAGAGAGGAAGUGUCAAACAUAACGCUUUGCUCUAGCAGAAUUAGUCAUGAGCUGACCAAUUGGCAUGUGUCAGAUGAAGAAUCUUUAUCUGACCAUCGCUACAUCUUGUUUGAACAUGUAAAUGUUACUUCGCAAACUUUGCGUUUCAGGAAUCCCCGGUCAACCAACUGGGAUCUCUUUACCGAUUUGGUUGCAGCCAAAUUUCAUGGAUACUCACCAUCAAUUGACACUCCAAGUGAUUUAGAUGAUGCCGUUGAUACUACAACGGCCUUCAUCAUGGAAGCUUUUGAAGAAGCCUGCCCACUGCGGUCUGCGAAAACCACAAGAGGAACCCCUUGGUGGAACUCCGAUCUGGCGAAGCUCAGAAAACAGUGCAGAAAGAGUUGGAACAGACGACGUUCGGCUGGAUCGGAGGCUUUCAGGUCGGCUCGCAGCUCUUCGGUUUGCUGAACGGGCUAGAAAAACCUUUGUACGAAAUGUUUCCAGUUUGAGUGAAGUCAGUCGGUUAAACAAAAUCCUUGCGAAAUCUAAGGAUUUCCGAGUGAACGAAUUUCGUUUGCCUAAUGGCGAUCUGCCUUUCUCUAAAGAGGAAGUUCUGGAAGGCUUAUUCAGGCCACACUCCCCUGGAUGUGUGGAUGUUACAUCUUCGGAUGAACCUGAUGUCUUUUCUUGUAGUUAUGAUUCUCUGGCCUCGGCUCGGAGUAUUGAGUGGGCACUUAAUAGCUUUGUUCGAAUCUCCUGGAGCAGAUGGGAUUUAUCCUAUUCUGAUUCAAAAGGGAUUUGAUUAUUUCAAACAUGUUUUGAAAAAUAUACUUGUUUGCAGUUUUGCUACAGGGUAUAUUCCCAAAUCUUGGCGGGAUAUUACUGUAAAGUUUAUUCCGAAAGUGGGUCGUGCGUCGUAUGAAGGAGCAAAGAGUUUCGGACCUAUCGGUUUUACCUCUUUUCUUCUGAAAUGCUUAGAACGCAUUGUCGAUCAUCACAUCCGUGAUGUUCAUCUGGCCAGCGUGCCUCUUCAUGUGAACCAACAUGCCUACCUAUCUGGUAAGUCCACUGUGGCUCUUUUACACAAGGUUGUUUACGAUAUCGAGAAAGCAUUCGCUCAAAAGCAAUCCUGUUUGGGUGUUUUCUUAGAUAUCGAGGGUGCCUUUGACAACGUGCCUUUCGAUGCCAUAUUGGAAGCCGCACGGGGUCAUGGUAUAUCUCCAAUGAUUUCCAAUUGGAUUCACCAAAUGCUCAAUAAAAACCGGCAUCUCUUCUCGACAUUGCGUCAAGCAGCGAUUAGGAAAUUUAGUGUUUCUGGAUGCUCUUAAGGGGGAGUCUUAUCACCACUUUUGUGGAAUCUUGUAGCAGAUACGCUAUUGAGGCAAUUCAAUAAUAGCGGUUUUCCUACCUAUGGUUUUGCCGACGACUACCUAACAUUGUUAGUCGGUAUGUGCAUCAGCACACUUUUCGACCUAAUGCAAAACGCUCUUCGGGUAGUUGAGGGUUGGUGUCACCAAUAUGGCCUUUCGGUUAAUCCGAGUAAAACAUCUAUUGUUCUUUUUUACGGAAAGGCGAAACCGAGAUGGCGUUCGACCUUUGCGUCUUUUUGAUUCUGAAAUCGAUGUGACUGAACAAGUAAAGUACGUUGGAGUCAUUCUUGAUUCUAAGCUUUCCGGGACACCUCACAUUGAGUUCAGAAUCAAGAAAGCUUGUAUGGCCUUCGGCGAACCUUUGGUACAACUUGGGGUCUAAAACCCAAGUAUAUCAACUGUUGUUUGACCAAUAUUGGCUUAUGGAUGUCUUGUGUGGUGGCAAAAGAGUAAAAUGAGAACGGUCCAAUCAAAGUUAGGCCAUUUCCAAAGGAUGUGCCUAAUGGCGAUGUCUGGAGCGUUCUCUUCAGCUCCCACGGCAGCACUCGAAGCUCUCUUUGACGUUGCUCCACUACACAUUCAUCUCAAACAAAAAGCACUUUCUUGCACUUACCGUCUACGGGUACUCGGUCUACUAGAGGAAACUUCUAUGAACCGCACAUCAACACACACCUCGUUGUUCCCACUUUUGGCGAAUUGGGACAAAAUUGUCCUUACUCCAAGUGAUCUUACAAUUGCUUAUAAUUUUCCAUAUAGGACAUUUUCCACGAAAUUCCCUUCCCGGGAAGAGUGGACAUCUGGAUAUCUGGAAAGAAGUAUUUCAGACGGCAUCGUAUGUUACACUGAUGGCUCCCUUCUCGAAGGUCGAGCAGGUACUGGUGUUUAUUCUCGUGAGCUAAGGCUGUAUCAGUCUUACUCACUUGGUAGACACUGCACCGUUUUUCAGGCCGAAAUUUUUGCUCUUAUGUGCGGAGUACAAUCAGCACCUUAGCAGUAAGUAAUGGGCAAAGUGAUAUACUUGCCUAAAACUUCUAAACACAAUUAUUUCGUUGGUAUGGGAAUGUUGUGACUAUUAUAAUCGAUUUAAUUUGAGUCUAUGUCAUUUGCACUGUUAUAACGGGUUAAAACCAAAUAUAUUUAUUGCCGUAUAUGCCGGUGAAGAGAAAGAUUCAGAGAGCCGCCAUGCUGCUAAACCGUCGAUUCUCACUCUUAAAAAUAAAUGUGAUUGCUCAUGGUCCCACUUGCUUCUGAAGCAUAUGUCGGCCAACCAAGGCAUACAGCUACCGCUCUGUGUUGAAAAGCGCCGCCGGUCAAAGAGUAGUAAAUUUUGCUUCAUUUGGGGGAAAACGCUUCAUUUUUCAAGUACUGCAUGAUCCAAUCUUCCCACAAAUGAUUGAAUGGAGAAUGGAGGAGAGUUACGCGAUUGUGUUGGUUCAAUGUGAAAAAUGUAACCACUGGUUACAUCCAGUGUUGCGAAACUCAUGCUCAUGAGUAAAAAAAUACUCACUCACCUUACUCUUUUGUGAGUAAUGCUCACGCUGUGAGUUACUCACGUACACGGAGAAAUCAAACUACCUAAUUUUUGGGUCGAUUUUACUCAAAGCUGAGUAUAUCGAAUAAACUAGUUACCCAAAAUUAGGUUGUUUUCCCUCUUUCCCUCACCGAUGUUGUCAAAAACAAACAGAGAUGCAUCUACCCAACGGGGGUCCUUGAGCCCAAUAAGCCAAUUUUGGGUAAAUGCAGGUUUACUCAAAUUUGGGUUGAAUGAGGGUGGGUCUUGGGUUGAAUUUACUUACUCUUAAGUAAAUGUUUUUGCUGGAGGUGAAGGCAAUUUACCUAGUGUGAGUUUAAUCGAUUUACUCAAAUUUGGCUUAUUGGGCCGAACUAUGGGAUUGCGUCAAAAGAACUCAAUUUUGGGUAGUUUGGCGGUUCCGUGUAUGAGUAUACUCAUUUGUGAGUAUGAUCUCGUUACUCACUUGCGAGUAUUACUCACUUGUGAGUAAUACUCACACGAGAGUAUGACGUCAUUACUCACGCGUGAGUUACUCAUUUUACUCACGGUGAGUUUAGUGAGUAAGUUAUGUUUGUUGGUUUGAAGUAAAGUUUUCGUUUGUUCUACACUGCAAUAGUGAUUAUUUAUAUACUAGGCAAAGUUUUCGAGGAAAGGUGGGUCUGUUCGAGAGCUUUGGCACCAUAGGCUAAAAAUUCUUAUUGUUUACCUACGCAUGCAAAGGAAUAACAUCAAUAAGGAAAUCUCUAUGUUUCGCUUCUCUUUGUUAAGGGUAUAACUUUUUUUCGCAUACGUCGGUCCUUUUGCGGUCUCCAACAAAGUAGGAUCGUUCAAUUACAGCGUCUCUUAGCUUCAAACGUUUAAAACUUUUCUUUUCUGCAUACGUUUGGUCGCGAUGAGGGGACAGCCAAAAUGGUAAACACAGUGUAAAUACUACUUAACAAAGUUUCAUGACGCCAAGCAGUCAGUAGUGUGCGGUAGUUUGGCAGCAGCAAAGCUUCGCGCGCUGGCUUUGCUAGAUUUUUGCGAUUUUUUUUUUCUUCUCUCGGCGGGGCUCCGACGACGGGACGAAGUGUGCGGUGGACGCGUCGUGGCUCGAGUCGGUUCCGAAUUUUUCGCUUCCCGUCGGCGCUAGUUCCCAAUACACUUUUAGUGGAUAAUGAUUUUUUUUUUGCAUUAACACAAAAGAGUGAAAAAUGUUAGUUCGGGCUCG